rnacentral:rRNA from 1 species
GAAUAAGCAUCGGCUAACUCCGUGCCAGCAGCCGCGGUAAUACGGAGGAUGCAAGCGUUAUCCGGAUUCAUUGGGUUUAAAGGGUGCGCAGGCGGAAUAAUAAGUCAGCGGUGAAAGCCUACAGCUUAACUGUAGAACUGCCUUUGAUACUGUUAUUCUUGAGUGUUGUUGAGGUAGGCGGAAUGUGUCAUGUAGCGGUGAAAUGCUUAGAUAUGACACAGAACACCGAUCGCGAAGGCAGCUAGCUAAGCUAUAACUGACGCUCAUGCACGAAAGCGUGGGGAUCAAACAGGAUUAGAUACCCUGGUAGUCCACGCUGUAAACGAUGAUUACUCGCUGUUGGCGAUACACAGUCAGUGGCUAAGCGAAAGUGAUAAGUAAUCCACCUGGGGAGUACGACGGCAACGUUGAAACUCAAAGGAAUUGACGGGGGCCCGCACAAGCGGAGGAGCAUGUGGUUUAAUUCGAUGAUACGCGAGGAACCUUACCUGGGCUCGAACGUAAGAUGACUGUAGGUGAAAGCUUACAUCUCUUCGGAGCAUUUUACGAGGUGCUGCAUGGUUGUCGUCAGCUCGUGCCGUGAGGUGUCGGGUUAAGUCCCAUAACGAGCGCAACCCCUACUCUUAGUUGCCAUCAGGUAAUGCUGGGAACUCUAAGAAAACUGCCUACGCAAGUAGUGAGGAAGGCGGGGAUGACGUCAAAUCAGCACGGCCCUUACGUCCAGGGCUACACACGUGCUACAAUGGCCGAUACAGAGGGCAGCUACCUGGUGACAGGAUGCAAAUCUCCAAAGUCGGUCUCAGUUCGGAUCGGAGUCUGCAACCCGACUCCGUGAAGUUGGAUUCGCUAGUAAUCGCGCAUCAGCCAUGGCGCGGUGAAUACGUUCCCGGGCCUUGUACACACCGCCCGUCAAGCCAUGGAAGCUGGGGGUACCUAAAGUCCGUAACCGCAAGGAGCGGCCUAGGGUAAAACUAGUGACUGGGGCUAAGUCGUAACAAGGUAGCCGUACCGGAAGGUGUGGCUG